AAAAACUAAGAGGGAUUUGGGAAGUGGAGUGGAGGGAAGUAUGAUGAAGAGGAAGUGGCAGCGUGAUUGAUGGAGGGGGAAAUGAAAGGAAAAGUAAGGGAGGGAGGGAGGAGCGUGCUGGAGCAGCCUGACAAGGACAAUGAUGAUUCGAGACUAGAGACAAAGUCGAAGACUAUGAAUGUGAAUGAUAUGGGGCAAUGGAUUUAAAAAUUGAAAAAUAUUCAUUCUUACAUUCAUUUUUCUCUGACUACGUGGGCCGGCAGAAAGACGAGAAGAAAGUAGAAAAAGCAGAGGGUUGAAGGUAGAUAGCAGGAGGGGGAAGCGGUGGAUGAGGAGACAAAGUGUUGGGAUACCGAGGGCUGCUGUCGGGGACGUGCUCUGCUGCUCUCUGCCCACUGCUGCCGCCUCCUCUCUCUUUUCAUUCCCCACCUUUUAUUC
rnacentral:lncRNA from 1 species